rfam:Felis catus isolate Cinnamon breed Abyssinian chromosome B4, whole genome shotgun sequence.
GCCUGGGUGGCUCAGUCGGUUAAGCGUCUGACUUCGGCUCAGGUCAUGAUCUCACCGUUCAUGGGUUCGAGCCCCACAUCAGGCU